rnacentral:rRNA from 1 species
GACGAACGCUGGCGGCGUGCCUAAUACAUGCAAGUCGAACGCACUCUCGUUUAGAUUGAAGGAGCUUGCUCCUGAUUGAUAAACAUUUGAGUGAGUGGCGGACGGGUGAGUAACACGUGGGUAACCUGCCCUAAAGUGGGGGAUAACAUUUGGAAACAGAUGCUAAUACCGCAUAAAACCUGACACCGCAUGGUGUAGGGUUGAAAGAUGGUUUCGGCUAUCACUUUAGGAUGGACCCGCGGUGCAUUAGUUAGUUGGUGAGGUAAAGGCUCACCAAGACCGUGAUGCAUAGCCGACCUGAGAGGGUAAUCGGCCACACUGGGACUGAGACACGGCCCAGACUCCUACGGGAGGCAGCAGUAGGGAAUUUUCCACAAUGGACGAAAGUCUGAUGGAGCAACGCCGCGUGAGUGAAGAAGGUUUUCGGAUCGUAAAACUCUGUUGUUGGUAGAAGAAUAGUAUCUGAUAGUAACUGAUCAGGUAGUGACGGUAU